rnacentral:lncRNA from 1 species
UCAAUUCUCCCACUCCAACCGCCCAAGUCCAGGUACAUCAUCAUCGAUCUCACUCAAAGACCUACUUGAUUUUUCAAUUUAUGGACUUUAAAUUGAUUUGAUGGGUUUAAUUGAUUUUAUUUUGUGGGUUUAGGUUUUGAAUAUCAAUUGCUUUCAGAGAAAACCAGAUGGAGAUGAUAAGGUAAAUUUCUUCAUUUCUUUAUGCUUUUAGUUUUUAUGUAGUCAAAAUUAAGCUUCUCUUUGGGCUGAGAUUUGUUUAUCUUUUUGUAUAUUUAUUUCUGAUUAGAGGUUAAUCCUUUGUUCAAUAAUUAGGGCAUUCUAGUUGAAAAAAAAAUUGGAUUUAGCGCCGAUGGUGGUGGCAGAGGCUGUGGGAGCGGGAGAUGAACUUGUGCUAUAUUUUUAAUUAGAGAUUUUAUUAGAGAUUUGUGGAUUGAAGUAUUGGGAGCAAUCUGUUCUUUUAUUGAUUAAUUUUAUGUGGCUUUGAUUGAAAAAUGAGAUUAUUCUAAUUUAAUUUUUUUUGGGAUAAUUUAAAUUAUUUCUAGAAUAUAAAAAGUUUUUUUGUGUUGGUGGCAGUAGCAUGGUAGCGGCAGUGGAAGGGUGGUAGUGGCCGUGCUAGUGGAAGAGAAGAUUGAAAGUGAAGAUGAGUUUGUUUAAUUUGUUUAAGAAUAAUAUAUUAAUAAAUUGUUAAUAUAUCAUAAUAUUUAUUUUUAAUAAUUAAUAAUUUUUUGCCUAACAUAUAUAAACAUUUAUGUAAAUAAAAAUUUAUUUUGAAAAGAUUUUUAAUUUUAAAAUAUUUUUAAUUUUUACUUUUUAUAAUUUCCUCAAUUAUAUUUGUUAGUAAUUAUAUAAAAAAAACAUUUGCUAUUAAUUACAAAAAUAACUACAGAACUCUUUUUAUUUUUUAAUUUCUACCAUGUAUUUUUUGCUAAAUUUUUUGAUUUUAUUAUAAUUUUCUUUCAUUUUUCCCUAAAUGUAUUUCAUAUCCCCCUUAAUUUUAAUUUUAAUUAGCAUAUUUUUAGUUUUUAUGUUUUAUAAAUGGCUUAAUUAUAAAUAAAAAUUUAUUUGAUAUUAAUUACAAAAAUAAUUAAAUAUAUUUUCUUAUUUUUUUUCCAGAUCCACAUAAUCACUGUCAUGUUGUAUAAUCACUGCCACAUCAUUUUUGUUUUACAACUCAGCAACUUAGCUGUCUUUUUCCGUUUAAAGUCAAAGCAUUUAACGGUUGUUUUAACUUUGUGUUAGAAAGGUGAGUACAAUUAGUUGACUGGAAGAAGAAAAAAAAUUUAUUUAUCUAUUUAUAAAUUGAUAUAUAAUACAGUGACCAAAAAUACACUUAACCCAUAAAACCCAUAACUGGGAGUCUGGGUUACCAAUAUGGUUCAGCCAUUACUGACUUGCGUGGUAAACGAAGUUGAUUUAAUUUCAAUAAUUCAUUUGGGUUCAAUAUUUUACAUUUUUACUCCUUAUAUUCUGUGGAAGUUUAUAAUGUAGGAUAUAUAAUAAAUUAGAGUGAAGUCAUACUUAAGUUUUACCAAUCUCAUACAUACACAUAGGUCUUAAUUAUAAUUUGAGGAUUCUUGUUUAUUUAUGAUAUUUAUAUGAUCCAAAGCCAAUAGUAGAUAAAAUAUUGGGUCAAUUCCAAUUACCCAAUACAAAGCAUGACAGGUAAAUCGGCAUGCAAUUUUUAAGCUGAUCCGUCAAAAAAGCCUGGUACUUUUUAGAUUUGGGUUGGAUUUAAUAUUGGACUGACGGGCUUUGGUCCCCCCAAUGACAUAUUGCCCAAAUAUUUACAAUCUCAAGCGUAUUUUUAUAGUCAUUAUCAGUAUUAUAUUAGCAGAAUUGUACAAAAUUUGUGUGUCUCAUUGUAGGGUAAAAUCAAAAGUUCAAAACUAAUCAUGUUACAACUACUAGAGCAUACAUACAAAUGGAGCAAUUUUACUAAAAUAAUAUCCUGUCUUGGUUCAAUAUAAGAAUGAUGUUUAACCCUAAAAACAACUAUGAUUUCGGAAUGAAAACUGAUAUUUCCACAACAGAAAAUGAUAUUUACACAUAAAAACAUAAAAAGUGUCGCAUUUUGCAUGUGAAAAUAUCAAAAAGUGUUGUGGAAAUAUCAAUUUCCUUUCGGAAAUUAUAUAAUAUACAAUCAGUACCUUCCGAUUUGUCUACAAUAAUUCUUUAUUUCUUUGCAUGCCAUUAACUCUAUCAAUUAAUGUUAACAGCAUCUGGUGGUUCAAUGCUUCAUAGUCUCUGCAUAAUUACAAGACAGUUUCUUUUAAGUAGUGUAUAACAUAAUCAUUUUUAGCAUCUAUUAUUCAUCAUAACUAUAAUAAAGUAGAGUUAAUCAUUUCUAUUUUUACCUGUAUGUAUAGAUGGCAUAUAGGAGCUGUGUUGUUGCAAACAGAAUGAACAGUAAUCUGACCAGACUUAUUAUCCAUGCCUGUUGUUCAAUGUCAUUUGAUACAUAUUUAGGUACGGCAAAUUCAAACAGAAAUGCAGCACAUAACCCUGCAGCAAAAAUAAAAAAUAAAAAUAAAAAUAAAUUCAAUGUUUCAAAAUAAAAAAAUUCUGAAUUUUAGGAAAUCAAAGGUGAUAAUGUACCUAUAUAGAGCCUAGGCCUCACAGGGUACGUUUGCUUUGUACUUGUGAACAUAUAGAUAAUAAAGAUUGAUAUGGAGUAGACAAUGAAAGCUUUGAUCCAUCGCGACUCCAGUAGAAUGGCAUUGUGCAGGGCAAAGAGCUUGUCUAUGGCUAGAAACAUGGUUGAUUGCUUUGAUUCAAAAUCAUCCUACAAAUAUAUAUACAGACAUUCGAAAGAGGUACAUAGAGUAAGUAACUGCUAACUUCUGAGCAUAUAUAAUGUCCCCGAAAGCUGCACUAACCUGAGAAGCUAAUAUUGUCUUUGAAUUUUGUAUCAGAUGACCAUGAGUUUGUUCAAGUUGUUGUUGCCGUCUAAGAAGCUCUUCUUGUUGCUUAUGACCAAUUUCAGCCAACUCUUCCAGGGUGCCCCUGUAAAAAAGAUAAAAUCAAAAUCGAUUUUGCCUUUUUUAGUUAUGAUUUGUGUCAUAACUUUGUUUAUACCUGCUUUCUUUAAGUGAUUGGG